GGCUAUUCCAUCCAUGUGAUCACGACGUCAUUGUGAUCACAUGACCUGGGAGGGCCAGAUCAGCCACUAGGGGACUGCCUGGGAUGCCCGCCGUCGAUCAGGUAAGUACUAUUGACGGUGUGGCCCGCCGUCCUUAAGGGACAUCUAUGUGUUGAUAAAAGACUUUAUAUGAUCAGUAUCCUUUAAUAAAAUAUAUAUUUUUUUUUUGCAUGAUUAGUCAUAUUUUUAAAAUCAAUGCCAAAAUGUCACAAUUUCUGCCAAGGUAUGCAAACAUUUUAGCACAACUGUAUUUCAGUUUAGAAUUCAGAAAUUCGACCAGACAUCAGAUCAGCCCAAAUUUGAAUGAAUUGCAGUUUGAUACAAAACCAAUCUCUUAGUUGUGUAAGUUCCUUGCAAUGAGUGUUCUGUCUAUAUAGUGCUUACACCUAUAUUUUAUGUGCAGAUUUUCAAGGCAACUUUAAUGUGGAAAAGACACAUAAUUUGGGCUUCCCGUAUGAUUAUGGCUCAGUUAUGCAUUAUCCACGGUAGGUUGAACUCCAAAUUCGAGAUGUGAGCAGCUUUGUUAUAAUAUAUUCCAUUUCUCUGUUGAAUCUGCACAACCACACAAAGUAAUCUCUUUCUUUACAGAUAUGCUUUCAGCAUCAAGGCAGGUGGAAAUACUAUAGUCCCAAAACCUGACCCUAAUGUAGCUAUUGGACAGAAAAAUGGGAUGAGUAAUCUGGAUUUAAAGAAAUUAAAC